UCUCUCGCUAUUACAGGUUGUGCCAGCGUAGAGCUUUAGAGAAUGAGUAGGGCAAUCGUCAAAAUACCAGGUUUGAUUUGCUUUGUGAAACUAGAGGAUCAUGGGGUGAGUAUAUCGUCUUAUUUUGGAGGGGUGAAGUAGCUGAUUGGCCAUCCGAAGAAUACAUUGCAAGUUUGAUCAAGGUGACUGUUACUUGGUAGGAGGAUGUGAUUUUAAGACAAGUAUGGUCACUUGUGGGUGUGAUUUAUAUAUCAUUUCAUCUCACUUCAACCUUAGUUUAUGCCUAAUGGCUAACUGCAGUUAGUGCUCGGUUAGUGUAUGUAAAUAAUGUAAAUUGAGGUUGUAAUGUAGUUAUG